UACGGGGGGGGCAAGCGUUGUUCGGAAUUACUGGGCGUAAAGGGCGCGUAGGCGGCCUUCUAAGUCGGACGUGAAAUCCCUCGGCUUAACCGAGGAACUGCGUCCGAUACUGAAAGGCUUGAAUCCGGGAGAGGGAUGUGGAAUUCCAGGUGUAGCGGUGAAAUGCGUAGAUAUCAGGAGGAACACCGGUGGUGUAGACGGCUUUCUGGACCGUAACUGACGCUGAGACACGAAAGCGUGGGUAGCAAACAGG
rnacentral:rRNA from 1 species